GGAUGUGAGGGCAAUCUGGCUGUGAUUCUGUCAUCCCAUUGAUCACCAGGGUUGAGUCAGCUGAUAUGGCUGGCUAGGUAGGUGUCCCCUUUCUCCCUCACUGCUCCAUGUGCAUUCUUCUCAAAGCUAUGUGAUCAGUUGAAGAGGACUACUUUCCACAAUAGAAGAGGAACAUUCUUUGGUCAAGGGUAUAUGAAUGGUUGUGCUCUCCUGCUACAAUCUCCAAACACGUUCCCAAGGUCAAAUCCCCUUACCAUAGGGUGGCUUUUGGGGUAAUGAGCUUUCUAUGCAAAUAUAUCUGCCUCCACAUGCCUUUCUCAAUCAGAAAGUUGUACCCAUUU
rnacentral:snRNA from 1 species